rnacentral:rRNA from 1 species
UACGGGGGGGGCAAGCGUUGUUCGGAAUUACUGGGCGUAAAGGGCUCGUAGGUGGCCAACUACGUCAGACGUGAAAUCCCUCGGCUCAACCGGGGAACUGCAUCUGAUACUGGAUGGCUUGAGAUUGGGAGAGGGAUGCGGAAUUCCAGGUGUAGCGGUGAAAUGCGCAGAUAUCAGGAGGAACACCGGUGGCGAAGGCGGGUCUCUGGGCCGGAACUGACGCUAAGGAGCGAAAGCGUGGGGAGCGAACAGG